rnacentral:rRNA from 1 species
UUAGUUGGUGGAGUGAUUUGUCUGGUUAAUUCCGUUAACGAACGAGACCUCAGCCUGCUAAAUAGCGACACUAUCCUCACGGAUGGUGAUCGACUUCUUAGAGGGACAAUGUGUGUUUAACGCAUGGAAGUUUGAGGCAAUAACAGGU